rnacentral:rRNA from 1 species
GGAAAGGCGCGCGAUACAGGGUGACAGCCCCGUACACAAAAAUGCACAUGCUGUGAGCUCGAUGAGUAGGGCGGGACACGUGGUAUCCUGUCUGAAUAUGGGGGGACCAUCCUCCAAGGCUAAAUACUCCUGACUGACCGAUAGUGAACCAGUACCGUGAGGGAAAGGCGAAAAGAACCCCGGCGAGGGGAGUGAAAAAGAACCUGAAACCGUGUACGUACAAGCAGUGGGAGCACGCUUCGGCGUGUGACUGCGUACCUUUUGUAUAAUGGGUCAGCGACUUAUAUUCUGUAGCAAGGUUAACCGAAUAGGGGAGCCGAAGGGAAACCGAGUCUUAACUGGGCGUUAAGUUGCAGGGUAUAGACCCGAAACCCGGUGAUCUAGCCAUGGGCAGGUUGAAGGUUGGGUAACACUAACUGGAGGACCGAACCGACUAAUGUUGAAAAAUUAGCGGAUGACUUGUGGCUGGGGGUGAAAGGCCAAUCAAACCGGGAGAUAGCUGGUUCUCCCCGAAAGCUAUUUAGGUAGCGCCUCGUGAAUUCAUCUCCGGGGGUAGAGCACUGUUUCGGCAAGGGGGUCAUCCCGACUUACCAACCCGAUGCAAACUGCGAAUACCGGAGAAUGUUAUCACGGGAGACACACGGCGGGUGCUAACGUCCGUCGUGAAGAGGGAAACAACCCAGACCGCCAGCUAAGGUCCCAAAGUCAUGGUUAAGUGGGAAACGAUGUGGGAAGGCCCAGACAGCCAGGAUGUUGGCUUAGAAGCAGCCAUCAUUUAAAGAAAGCGUAAUAGCUCACUGGUCGAGUCGGCCUGCGCGGAAGAUGUAACGGGGCUAAACCAUGCACCGAAGCUGCGGCAGCGACGCUGAUGCGUUGUUGGGUAGGGGAGCGUUCUGUAAGCCUGCGAAGGUGUGCUGUGAGGCAUGCUGGAGGUAUCAGAAGUGCGAAUGCUGACAUAAGUAACGAUAAAGCGGGUGAAAAGCCCGCUCGCCGGAAGACCAAGGGUUCCUGUCCAACGUUAAUCGG